rnacentral:rRNA from 1 species
AGAGUUUGAUCAUGGCUCAGAUUGAACGCUGGCGGCAGGCCUAACACAUGCAAGUCGAACGGUAACAGGAAGCAGCUUGCUGCUUCGCUGACGAGUGGCGGACGGGUGAGUAAUGUCUGGGAAGCUGCCUGAUGGAGGGGGAUAACUACUGGGAACGGUAGCUAAUACCGCAUAAUGUCGCAAGACCAAAGAGGGGGACCUUCGGGCCUCUUGCCAUCGGAUGUGCCCAGAUGGGAUUAGCUUGUUGGUGGGGUAACGGCUCACCAAGGCGACGAUCCCUAGCUGGUCUGAGAGGAUGACCAGCCACACUGGAACUGAGACACGGUCCAGACUCCUACGGGAGGCAGCAGUGGGGAAUAUUGCACAAUGGGCGCAAGCCUGAUGCAGCCAUGCCGCGUGUAUGAAGAAGGCCUUCGGGUUGUAAAGUACUUUCAGCGGGGAGGAAGGGAGUAAAGUUAAUACCUUUGCUCAUUGACGUUACCCGCAGAAGAAGCACCGGCUAACUCCGUGCCAGCAGCCGCGGUAAUACGGAGGGUGCAAGCGUUAAUCGGAAUUACUGGGCGUAAAGCGCACGCAGGCGGUUUGUUAAGUCAGAUGUGAAAUCCCCGGGCUCAACCUGGGAACUGCAUCUGAUACUGGCAAGCUUGAGUCUCGUAGAGGGGGGUAGAAUUCCAGGUGUAGCGGUGAAAUGCGUAGAGAUCUGGAGGAAUACCGGUGGCGAAGGCGGCCCCCUGGACGAAGACUGACGCUCAGGUGCGAAAGCGUGGGGAGCAAACAGGAUUAGAUACCCUGGUAGUCCACGCCGUAAACGAUGUCGACUUGGAGGUUGUGCCCUUGAGGCGUGGCUUCCGGAGCUAACGCGUUAAGUCGACCGCCUGGGGAGUACGGCCGCAAGGUUAAAACUCAAAUGAAUUGACGGGGGCCCGCACAAGCGGUGGAGCAUGUGGUUUAAUUCGAUGCAACGCGAAGAACCUUACCUGGUCUUGACAUCCACGGAAGUUUUCAGAGAUGAGAAUGUGCCUUCGGGAACCGUGAGACAGGUGCUGCAUGGCUGUCGUCAGCUCGUGUUGUGAAAUGUUGGGUUAAGUCCCGCAACGAGCGCAACCCUUAUCCUUUGUUGCCAGCGGUCCGGCCGGGAACUCAAAGGAGACUGCCAGUGAUAAACUGGAGGAAGGUGGGGAUGACGUCAAGUCAUCAUGGCCCUUACGACCAGGGCUACACACGUGCUACAAUGGCGCAUACAAAGAGAAGCGACCUCGCGAGAGCAAGCGGACCUCAUAAAGUGCGUCGUAGUCCGGAUUGGAGUCUGCAACUCGACACCAUGAAGUCGGAAUCGCUAGUAAUCGUGGAUCAGAAUGCCACGGUGAAUACGUUCCCGGGCCUUGUACACACCGCCCGUCACACCAUGGGAGUGGGUUGCAAAAGAAGUAGGUAGCUUAACCUUCGGGAGGGCGCUUACCACUUUGUGAUUCAUGACUGGGGUGAAGUCGUAACAAGGUA